rnacentral:rRNA from 1 species
AAGUGGCGCACGGGUGAGUAACACGUAGGUGACCUCCGUUUUAGAGGGGGAUAACCAGAAGAAAUUUUGGCUAAUCCCGCAUACGAAGACAAAUUUAAAAAUAGUUCUUGAAAGGAUGCCUCUGUAUAUGCAUCUACUAAACGAUGGGCCUGCGGUACAUUAGCUAGUUGGUGGGGUAAUGGCCUACCAAGGCGACGAUGUAUAACGGAUCUGAGAGGAUGAUCCGUCACACUGGAACUGAGACACGGUCCAGACUCCUACGGGAGGCAGCAGUGGGGAAUAUUGGACAAUGGGCGAAAGCCUGAUCCAGCAAUUCUGCGUGAGUGAGGAAGGACUUCGGUCUGUAAAGCUCUGUUAAUGUGGAAAAAUGGUAGUUGGUCUAAUAGGCCGAUUAUUUGAUGGUACACAUAGAGGAAGCACCGGCUAACUUCGUGCCAGCAGCCGCGGUAAUACGAAGGGUGCAAGCGUUGUUCGGAUUUAUUGGGCGUAAAGCGCGCGUAGGCGGACCUGUAAGUCAGAUGUGAAAUCUCGGUGCUCAACACCGAAACUGCGUCUGAAACUGCGGGUCUUGAAUCUUAGAGGGGGAGUGGGAAUUUCGCAUGUAGGGGUAAAAUCCGUAGAGAUGCGAAGGAACACCAGAGGCGAAGGCGCACUCCUGGACAAGUAUUGACGCUGAGGCGCGAAAGCGUGGGGAUCAAACAGGAUUAGAUACCCUGGUAGUCCACGCUGUAAACGAUGAGCACUAGAUAUUAUGGGAUUUGACCCCCGUAGUGUCGUAGCUAACGCGUUAAGUGCUCCGCCUGGGAAGUACGGUCGCAAGACUAAAACUCAAAGGAAUUG